rnacentral:rRNA from 1 species
AGAGAGAGACAUGCGCGCAUAUCAAUAAGCGGAGGAAAAGAAACUAACAAGGAUUCCCUUAGUAACGGCGAGUGAAGCGGGAAGAGCUCAAAUUUGAAAUCUUCAAGGUUCUACCUUGACGAAUUGUAGUUUAUAGAAGUGUUUUCUGCUAGUGGAGUGGCAAAAGUUCUUUGGAAUAGGACAUCAUAGAGGGUGAGAAUCCCGUAUUUGGUCAUUCCUCCUAGCGUUGUGAUACACUUUCAACGAGUCGGAUUGUUUGGGAAUGCAGUCCAAAAUGGGUGGUAAAUUUCAUCUAAAGCUAAAUAUUGGCGAGAGACCGAUAGCGAACAAGUACCGUGAGGGAAAGAUGAAAAGAACUUUGAAAAGAGAGUUAAACAGUACGUGAAAUUGUCAAAAGGGAAGCGUUUGACACCAGUGUUGUUUUUCCGAAAAUCAAUUACGAAUGUUUUGUUUUUGAGGAGUUAUGACUUCAUCGGCUUGCUCCUUUCUUUACGAAACUUUCUUAAUGCACUUUUCGGUUAACAAGUCAACAUCAAUUUCUUUUGUUGUAAAAGGGUAUGAGGAAGGUGGCUUUCUUUUCGGAGAAAGUGUUUAUAGCCUUGUGCCUCUGCAAUCGGAGAGAUUGAGGUCUGCAGCGUAGAUCCUUCGGGGUUAGAUGCAUUUGUGCUAAGUUAUAGCCUUUUCAUAGACAACUUGUUGACUAUGUUUAGUCUUGUAGCUUACUCGCUUACUGCUAUUUUACCUACGCUUAGGAUGUUGAUAGUCACAGCGUGUAC